rnacentral:rRNA from 1 species
UACGGAGGGGGCAAGCGUUAUCCGGAUUCACUGGGCUUAAAGGGUGCGUAGGCGGGCAGGUAAGUCAGUGGUGAAAUCUCCGGGCUUAACCCGGAAACUGCCGUUGAUACUAUCUGUCUUGAAUGUAGUGGAGGUGAGCGGAAUAUGUCAUGUAGCGGUGAAAUGCUUAGAUAUGACAUAGAACAUCGAUUGCGAAGGCAGCUCGCUAGACUAUGAUUGACACUGAGGCACGAAAGCGUGGGGAUCAAACAGG